rnacentral:rRNA from 1 species
AGGUUGAAACUCAAAGGAAUUGACGGGGGCCCGCACAAGCGGUGGAGCAUGUGGUUUAAUUCGAAGCAACGCGAAGAACCUUACCAGGUCUUGACAUCCCGAUGCCCGCUCUAGAGAUAGAGCUUUACUUCGGUACAUCGGUGACAGGUGGUGCAUGGUUGUCGUCAGCUCGUGUCGUGAGAUGUUGGGUUAAGUCCCGCAACGAGCGCAACCCUUAUUGUUAGUUGCCAUCAUUCAGUUGGGCACUCUAGCGAGACUGCCGGUAAUAAACCGGAGGAAGGUGGGGAUGACGUCAAAUCAUCAUGCCCCUUAUGACCUGGGCUACACACGUGCUACAAUGGCUGGUACAACGAGUCGCAAGCCGGUGACGGCAAGCUAAUCUCUGAAAGCCAGUCUCAGUUCGGAUUGUAGGCUGCAACUCGCCUACAUGAAGUCGGAAUCGCUAGUAAUCGCGGAUCAGCACGCCGCGGUGAAUACGUUCCCGGGCCUUGUACACACCGCCCGUCACACCACGAGAGUUUGUAACACCCGAAGUCGGUGAGGUAACCGUAAGGAGCCAGCCGCCUAAGGUGGGAUAGAUGAUUGGGGUGAAGUCGUAACAAGGUAGCCGUAUCGGAAGGUGCGGCUG